AGUGAACGCUGGCGGUAGGCCUAACACAUGCAAGUCGAACGGCAGCACAGUAAGAGCUUGCUCUUACGGGUGGCGAGUGGCGGACGGGUGAGGAAUACAUCGGAAUCUACUUUUUCGUGGGGGAUAACGUAGGGAAACUUACGCUAAUACCACAUACGACCUACGGGUGAAAGCAGGGGAUCUUCGGACCUUGCGCGAUUGAAUGAGCCGAUGUCGGAUUAGCUAGUUGGCGGGGUAAAGGCCCACCAAGGCGACGAUCCGUAGCUGGUCUGAGAGGAUGAUCCGCCACACUGGAACUGAGACACGGUCCAGACUCCUACGGGAGGCAGCAGUGGGGAAUAUUGGACAAUGGGCGCAAGCCUGGUCCAGCCAUACCGCGUGGGUGAAGAAGGCCUUCGGGUUGUAAAGCCCUUUUGUUGGGAAAGAAAAGCAGCAGGUUAAUACCCCGCUGUUCUGACGGUACCCAAAGAAUAAGCACCGGCUAACUUCGUG
rnacentral:rRNA from 1 species